UACGGAGGGGACUAGCGUUGUUCGGAAUUACUGGGCGUAAAGCGCACGUAGGCGGAUUUGUAAGUCAGGGGUGAAAUCCCCGGGCUCAACCCGGGAACUGCGUCCGAUACUGGCAGGCUUGAAUCCGGGAGAGGGAUGCGGAAUUCCAGGUGUAGCGGUGAAAUGCGUAGAUAUCUGGAGGAACACCGGUGGCGAAGGCGGCAUCCUGGACCGGCAUUGACGCUGAGGCGCGAAAGCCAGGGGAGCAAACGGG
rnacentral:rRNA from 1 species